rnacentral:rRNA from 1 species
CAGCCGCCGCGGUAAUACGUAGGGUGCAAGCGUUAAUCGGAAUUACUGGGCGUAAAGCGUGCGCAGGCGGUUUGUUAAGACAGAUGUGAAAUCCCCGGGCUCAACCUGGGAACUGCAUUUGUGACUGGCAGGCUAGAGUAUGGCAGAGGGGGGUGGAAUUCCGCGUGUAGCAGUGGAAUGCGUAGAUAUGCGGAGGAACACCGAUGGCGAAGGCAGCCCCCUGGGCCAAUACUGACGCUCACGCACGAAAGCGUGGGGAGCAAACAGGAUUAGAUACCCGCGUAGUCCCUGUCUCUUAUAC